rnacentral:rRNA from 1 species
GACGAACGCUGGCGGCGUGCUUAACACAUGCAAGUCGAACGGAAAGGCCCUGCUUUUGUGGGGUGCUCGAGUGGCGAACGGGUGAGUAACACGUGAGUAACCUGCCCUUGACUUUGGGAUAACUUCAGGAAACUGGGGCUAAUACCGGAUAGGAGCUCCUGCUGCAUGGUGGGGGUUAGAAAGUUUCGGCGGUGGGGGCUGGACUCGCGGCUUAUCAGCUUGUUGGUGGGGUAGUGGCUUACCAAGGCUUUGACGGGUAGCCGGCCUGAGAGGGUGACCGGCCACAUUGGGACUGAGAUACGGCCCAGACUCCUACGGGAGGCAGCAGUGGGGAAUAUUGCACAAUGGGCGGAAGCCUGAUGCAGCAACGCCGCGUGCGGGAUGACGGCCUUCGGGUUGUAAACCGCUUUCGCCUGUGACGAAGCGUGAGUGACGGUAAUGGGUAAAGAAGCACCGGCUAACUACGUG